rnacentral:rRNA from 1 species
GGAUUGACACAUCGGUCGUGCCUUAAGGGGUAUGAACUGGUGUAGUCAGUUUCUCACCUUCUGGAGAACCGCGAUGUCCUUAAUUGGGUGCCGCGGGGAAUCAGGACUGUUACUUUGAAAAAAUUAGAGUGUUUAAAGCAGGCAUACGCUUGAAUACAUUAGCAUGGAAUAAUGAAAUAGGACGUUUGAUUCUAUUUUGUUGGUUUCUAGGAUCGACGUA